rnacentral:rRNA from 1 species
CCUACGGGUGGCUGCAGUGGGGAAUAUUGGACAAUGGGCGAAAGCCUGAUCCAGCCAUGCCGCGUGUGUGAAGAAGGCCUUCGGGUUGUAAAGCACUUUCAGUGGGGAAGAAAGCCUUGGGGCUAAUACCCUCGAGGAAGGACAUCACCCACAGAAGAAGCACCGGCUAACUCCGUGCCAGCAGCCGCGGUAAUACGGAGGGUGCGAGCGUUAAUCGGAAUUACUGGGCGUAAAGCGCGCGUAGGCGGUCUGAUAAGCCGGUUGUGAAAGCCCCGGGCUUAACCUGGGAACGGCAUCCGGAACUGUCAGGCUAGAGUGCAGGAGAGGAAGGUAGAAUUCCCGGUGUAGCGGUGAAAUGCGUAGAGAUCGGGAGGAAUACCAGUGGCGAAGGCGGCCUUCUGGACUGACACUGACGCUGAGGUGCGAAAGCGUGGGUAGCAAACAGGAUUAGAUACCCUUGUAGUC